AUUUGCUGAAACGUGAGCGCCUGGUGCUACCAGUCCCACCGCCGGAGCCGAUGAACAAUAAUAAGCGUGUUGUGGCACAUUUACCUUAUACCACAUCGCACUGGUGAGCAAGGUAUGAUCUUCCGUGAACUAGUCGAGGAUUUGGAUCCGGUAAUCGACCCCAAUACGCUUUCUAGUGCGCCCAAGCGAUAAUUCACCUGGCGAUUACUCGCUCUUCUUUCACAUUAAUAAUUAAAUCCAACGCUUUCGCAUUGAAAAGAAAGGCGAACGUUAUCUGAUGGGUGGACACUGUCGAGUGCUUGGAUGCAGUGAUCAAUCGCUAUCGCAAAGAGAAAAUCAUCGAAGGUCACUCACUCAGUAUCCACCUGAAUUCAACCAACAGUUUGUGGUGGAAAAGGCAGCCGAACAAAUCUAUGCAACUUUGUGCAAAUGUUCCGGUCAAAUCGGUUUGAAGAAUAUAAAAGGCAUCAAACAUCACGGACAUUUGUUCAAGAAGUCUGAUAAGACAGCCAAACGGAAUGGAAUCGCUUAUCAGCGAGGGCAGCGAAACAUUUCUGCUUCUAUGACAAUCCGAAAAAGACCAAACCGAAUCCAACGUGUGCGUAUCUAUACCAGUGCCAUGAACUGUUAUGGGAGCAGCCAUAUUGUUUUCAAAUAGUCAAGCGCGAACUCAGUGACGGAUUUAUAGAUUUGCCGCCGCUUUUCAAUUUUUGCCGCCCCUACUACCUCUGAAAUUCGAUAGCUUAGUUUAAGUUUUCAUUUUCAUUUCCUAAAAUUUCCACUUUAUGACUUAAAAACUAAGGUACGGUAUAAAAUCCUUGAUUAUUUACACAUUAAAUAAUUAUGAAGAAAUACCAAAUUUAAGCAAAG